rnacentral:snoRNA from 1 species
GCAAAUGAUUAUAUAUUUUUAACCCUGAACUUCGGUCAUCCGGACAAUUGAAGAUCAAAAAAACGCAACAACUUACACUCUAAUUUUUUAAUGACG